UAUUCUAAGGCGCUUGAGAGAACUCGGGAGAAGGAACUCGGCAAAUUGACACCGUAACUUCGGAAGAAGGUGUGCCCUAGUAGUGUGAAGUGAACAACGGAGCAUGAAUGGGUUGCAAAAAAUCGGUGGCUGCGACUGUUUAUUAAAAACACAGCACUCUGCAAACACGAAAGUGGACGUAUAGGGUGUGACGCCUGCCCGGUGCUGGAAGAUUAAAUGAUGGGGUGCAAGCUCUUGAUUGAAGUCCCAGUAAACGGCGGCCGUAACUAUAACGGUCCUAAGGUAGCGAAAUUCCUUGUCGGGUAAGUUCCGACCUGCACGAAUGGCGUAACGAUGGCCACACUGUCUCCUCCCGAGACUCAGCGAAGUUGAAAUGUUUGUGAUGAUGCAAUCUCCCCGCGGAAAGACGGAAAGACCCCAUGAACCUUUACUGUAGCUUUGUAUUGGACUUUGAACAGAUCUGUGUAGGAUAGGUGGGAGGCUUUGAAGCAGGGUCGCUAGAUCUUGUGGAGCCAACGUUGAAAUACCACCCUGGUGUGUUUGAGGUUCUAACCUAGGUCCAUUAUCUGGAUCGGGGACAGUGCAUGGUAGGCAGUUUGACUGGGGCGGUCUCCUCCCAAAGUGUAACGGAGGAGUUCGAAGGUACGCUAGUUACGGUCGGACAUCGUGACGAUAGUGCAAUGGCAUAAGCGUGCUUAACUGCGAGACUGACAAGUCGAGCAGAUGCGAAAGCAGGACAUAGUGAUCCGGUGGUUCUGUAUGGAAGGGCCAUCGCUCAACGGAUAAAAGGUACUCUGGGGAUAACAGGCUGAUACCGCCCAAGAGUUCAUAUCGACGGCGGUGUUUGGCACCUCGAUGUCGGCUCAUCUCAUCCUGGGGCUGUAGCCGGUCCCAAGGGUAUGGCUGUUCGCCAUUUAAAGAGGUACGUGAGCUGGGUUUAAAACGUCGUGAGACAGUUUGGUCCCUAUCUUCCGUGGGCGCUGCAGAUUUGAGGAAGCCUGCUCCUAGUACGAGAGGACCGGAGUGGACGCACCUCUGGUGUAUCGGUUGUCACGCCAGUGGCAUUGCCGAGUAGCUAUGUGCGGAAGAGAUAACCGCUGAAAGCAUCUAAGCGGGAAACUCGUUCCAAGAUGAGAUCUGCCGGGGCCUUGAGCCCCCUAAAGAGUCGUUCAAGACCAGGACGUUGAUAGGUCAGGUGUGGAAGCGCAGUAAUGCGUUAAGCUAACUGAUACUAAUUGCUCGUGCGC
rnacentral:rRNA from 1 species